CCUGAUAGCGUAUUCAUUAUCAUGAGAUUGAUAAAUUUUCUUAUUGUUGACGCUUAAUUGUAUUUAUCACUUAAUUUAGUAUGAGUAGAUCAACAUUCUGAAUGUGACUUGAGACUUAAUUUAGUAUUCAAAGACUUCUUUGAAUACUAAAUUAAGCGUCAAGAAUCGAAAGCUUUCGAGUUCUUAAUUGUAAGCUUUGGAUUGCAUCAUCUACUCAGUCUGAUUGCCUCACAGAAGACGAUCUGGAAUGUUGAUCGACUCAGGAACGCGCCAAGCUUUCGAGUGCUUUUGAUCGUCGAUCUGUUUCUUCCAUGUAUAAGUGGAUCAUUUCGUGCAUAGUUUCUGUUUAGAUAUAUACUUGCGUUUUAGAUUAGUCUUUUAAUUGAAAAAUUAGUUGAAUGUAAAUCAUAUAUUUAUGGUAGAUUGGUAGUUAAAUGGUAAUUUCAUCUUUUUUGCUUGAUUCUAUAAUUUUUUUGAGAUUGAUUUCUGCUGUUGUAUGAUUGAUCUGCUACUUGCCCUAACUUGAUUAUCUUCAUACUCUUGUCUGAUUAUUCUUUGUAGUAAUUUGCUUAUUUGAUUGCUUGCUGAUAAUAACACUCAACAGAAUCAACGUUUUUGUUUCUUAGUUACCUGGCAUUAUCCCCUGUCCCCUGAUGUAUAGGUUCAGAACUUGAUCAAGAGAUUCAAUCUCCAUGAGAGUCUCUGUGCUUUUCUUUUGGUUUGAGAAGAGGAAGCCUUCUGCAAGUAGACGUGGUUCGGUUUUAACUUAAGUAUCAGUUGUAAUUAAUAAUUAUAUGAGUGAUGUUCAAGUUAAAAUUGAACUUGUAGUUUUCCUGUCUCAAUG